AACGAACGCUGGCGGCAUGCCUAACACAUGCAAGUCGAACGAGACCUUCGGGUCUAGUGGCGCACGGGUGCGUAACGCGUGGGAACCUGCCCUUAGGUUCGGAAUAACUCCCCGAAAGGGGUGCUAAUACCGGAUAAUGUCUUCGGACCAAAGAUUUAUCGCCUUUGGAUGGGCCCGCGUUGGAUUAGCUAGUUGGUAGGGUAAAAGCCUACCAAGGCGACGAUCCAUAGCUGGUCUGGGAGGAUGAUCAGCCACACUGGGACUGAGACACGGCCCAGACUCCUACGGGAGGCAGCAGUGGGGAAUAUUGGACAAUGGGCGAAAGUCUGAUCCAGCAAUGCCGCGUGAGUGAUGAAGGCCUUAGGGUUGUAAAGCUCUUUUACCCGGGAUGAUAAUGACAGUACCGGGAGAAUAAGCGCCGGCUAACUCCGUG
rnacentral:rRNA from 1 species